CGCCUUUAGACUAAUUAUUAAAGGUCCAUUCUGCCCCAUGAUUUUUAUUAAAUGGCCGCGGUACCCUGACCGUGCAAAGGUAGCAUAAUAAUUUGCCUCUUAAUUAGAGGCUGGAAUGAAUGAAUAUACGAAAAUAUUACUGUUUCAUCUGUACAUCUAAAAACUAGCUUUCAGGUGAAGAGACCUGAAUUUUUUAAAAAGACAAAAAGACCCUAUUGAGCUUUAUCUAAAACCAGACUUUCUGUAAAAUUUUAACCCCUCUCUGUUUAUUAGAUUUUGUUGGGGCGACAGAAGAAGACCUAAAUCUUCUUUAUUAACAAAGGUUAUAAACCUAACCAAAGAUCCGGACACCCGAUUUUAAGAAGAAGCUACCAUAGGGAUAACAGGCUAAUUUUCUUUAAGAGCCCAUAUUGACAAGAAAGAUUGGCACCUCGAUGUUGGCUUAGGGCAUCUCCUAAAUGCAGAAGUUUAGAAAGUAGGUUUGUUCAACCUUUAAAGCCCU
rnacentral:rRNA from 1 species